AACUAUAAUGUUAGUAUGUUACUAGUACUAAAUUUGACAACUUAAAUAGGGGUUUCUUUUAGGUUCUUGUUGAUCACAUCUGAUAAAAGCAAAUUCAUUCUGGAAACAUGUAUCCUCCCAUAAGAUGCUUAGGCUAUGAUGCUCUCCUGUCUUUACCUUAGAACCACAAAAGGCAAGGAUUUGCAUUAGGCAUGGCAGUGUUGGUUUGUGCAGUUCCGUACAUGAAAGUGGAUGUGCUGUUGAAGUUAACUGUUGAGUUGUUGGAGAUCUCUUCUUCCAUGAAGGGUUAGUACAUAAGAGAUUGCUUAAAGGGACACUUGUUUGCUUAUGGAGAUUUUGCAAGAUCAGGGAAAUUGAUUUUGGAGUGGAUUGCUGAUAAGAACAUUCCUUACAGUAAAGAACUUGUUGGUUCUCGUCUUUUUGGCAACAAAGACACGGUACUUACAAGAGGACUCUCGGGAGUCUCUUUGUAGGAUACUUGGCCAAAGUGUGACCUGUUAUCCCUUAAGUAAGUACUGUGACGAAGAGGCUGUUGCUCACCCGACACGAUCGUACGAGGUCACAAUUUACCCAGGGUGAACAAGAAUUGGGGAUCGGAUGCGGGCGAAAUUCCCGACAAUGGCUGAGAUGUUCAGUCGACUGCUGUCUCACUUAUUUUGAAGUUGGUUGAUAAGGAUUCCACUUUCUGCCUGCCACGAGCAUAGUGUAUAAUAUUCCUUAAGUAUUCUUUUACCUGAAAGUUUUGUACAAGUUUUUGAUCCCUCGCCAGCUUUAAAUUCCAUUAAAAAGCACAAUAGAGGCUGCAAGGGUAAUUCAGCAGUAGAAGAUAUUGAGAAUAUUCUUAAAGACUUCUGUAAAGCUAUCAUUGAAGGAUCUCUUCUUUCAUCAUCUCAUGGCCCGCUUCGUGCAUUUACAACGUCCUGUCUUACAAAGUUGUGCUGUGCUUAAUGGAUGUACUUUCCACAGAAAUCACUCAGCUGUUCAAAGCCAGCCAAUACUUUUUGAGAGAAUUAUCUGAGCGGGUCAAGCAUGAUGAUGUUAGAACAGUGGAAGUUAUUGUGGCUUUACAGAAACAUAGCAAAGGGAAAUUUGAUUACAUCACCAGGAAAAAAACAAGUAAAAGAGUUGAUGGCUGAAUUUGAAACUGAGUCUUUGUGCAUGCUUCUAAUCAAGAACUUGCUUCACAUGUUCCUUGGAUGAAGGUCUUACUUCAGAAAUUGGUUCCAUAGAAGAUAAGGAUUCUGUUGGAGCUGUAGGAACCUCGGAAAUUUUUAAAGGCUGGUUAUAGAGUCACUUUCCAAUAGCUUAAAGCAUCUAACUCUGGAUACAAGGUUUAUUCUCUUUAACUCUUGGAACUGAGGUGACAUCUUUUGAAUUGGAGGAGAAGUUUUGGUUGCCUAAGUCUUCCAUUUCAAGUGCUCUUUCUAGGAUGAGCAUUGAGCAGCUAAGAUACUGCCGUGAAAUUCUCGAAAAGGGUAAGUACCUCAUGUUGUGUCAAGUGGUGUUAAAGCUAAUGAUCUUGGAGCUUAUUUCAGCUCUCAAGACAGGAAAGGACUUGGUUCCAAGUAUUGGCAGAAAUAAGUGUCGUUCCAUGAGGUUCCCUCUGAUACAAUUGUUGCUUCAAGUUCUACUUCGGCCUGGGGAAUUUUCUUAAGUCGCCUCCAAAUUGGUUAUUUUCUGCAUGAGAGCUCUUCAAUCUUCAGAUUUUCCAAUUUCAUCUGGAUAAGAUGAAGCAGACGGAGAUGGUGCAUCUGAACUGAUGUAUGUUCUAUUGGAUACCAUGCUUUCGUUGCUACCACAGUCAUAAGCUUUAACACAGACUGCUAUUGAGCUGGAAAGCCACAGGUAUUGAUAAUAUUUUCAGACCUAGCUCAGGCAUUGCAUAGUUUGGUCAACGAAUUUGGGGAAUUCUACAGAACAAAAUUUUGACUAUCCUGGAGGUGAAUCCAUCCAGCUCUCAGUGCUCAAGUCACUGUUGAAAAGGAACUUUAGGCUGGCAGACAAACCUUUCAAGCACAAGAAAGAAUUGCUUUUAUAGAUUUAAAUGGAGCGACAUUAACAUUGAUGAUCAUACAGCAGCUUCAAUUUUGACAGGAUGUUUGUGGAAAACAUGGACUCCCUACUGUGCAAGCAGGCAGCUGAACGAGUAAGAUUUGCAAGUUUUAACAGGAUUUGGUAGUAGAUGAUCCGCUAUCACGAACAGAACAAAUAAAUUGCUUUACUUGCAAUCUCACUUGAGUUGGUGUUGGACUUUGUCAAAUGCCACUUGGGAUUUCAACCAAAGGCCAAACAGUUGGGCUAACCCAUUAAUAAAUGGUAUUCUCCUACUGUUUGGUCGAAACACUUUGUUUUCAUUCAAACAUUUAUAAUAAUAUUGUUUUGGGUGGUGGCACCUCAUUGACUCUCCUAUGAGUUGUGACGUAUAAAGUCUGGCCAACGUAAAAAUUACAUCCACUAUUUGCCACACCACUUUAAGUUGGAGUUCACCUCAAGCAAAGCAAGUCUUUUUAAACACAUCAAGGUGACUUGUGAAAUAUUGAAGUCAUGUAGAACUACCACUUUUUGAAGAUUUUCGUCAUCUGAAUCAAUUCUAAACAGUAUCUUUAUCUGGCUUUGUUCUGUGACCUUAAUUGUCAUCCGGAUAACUAUUCAAUUUUGUGUGGACAUAUAUUUUACUAUAGUUAGCUGGUCGAUUCAAUUUUUGGCUUAUACUACAUUAGUGCAAACUUAAUGUAUGUGGCUGUGUAUAUUUCCCCAAAAAUAUAUAUAACCAUCACAUGGGUGGAUUUUAGUUGAGACGCCAUAUUUGGAUCCUUCACGUGAAAGGAGAUUGUUUACGUCUUUACAAAGGAAAGUUUCUUUAAGUAUUAUACUGUUACUGCACAGCUGAGAGCUACCUACCUAUAAAUGAAUGAAAAAGGCAAAAGGAACAAGGCCACCCAUUAAAUAAAUAAUUUACAAGUACCUAAAAAAUUUAGUAUAUGAAAAUAAUUGCACCUAAAUUGUUCACAUACCAUUCUCUGUAAACACAUCUUCACCAUCAAAAGAAGAGGGUUGAAU